rnacentral:rRNA from 1 species
GGUAUGUAAAGCUCUAUCAGCAGGGAAGAUAAUGACGGUACCCGACUAAGAAGCACCGGCUAAAUACGUGCCAGCAGCCGCGGUAAUACGUAUGGUGCAAGCGUUAUCCGGAUUUACUGGGUGUAAAGGGAGCGCAGGCGGUGCGGCAAGUCUGAUGUGAAAGCCCGGGGCUCAACCCCGGUACUGCAUUGGAAACUGUCGUACUAGAGUGUCGGAGGGGUAAGCGGAAUUCCUAGUGUAGCGGUGAAAUGCGUAGAUAUUAGGAGGAACACCAGUGGCGAAGGCGGCUUACUGGACGAUAACUGACGCUGAGGCUCGAAAGCGUGGGGAGCAAACAGGAUUAGAUACCCUGGUAGUCCACGCCGUAAA